CCAAUAGCGUAUAUUAAAGUUGUUGCAGUUAAAAAGCUCGUAGUUGAAUUUCGAGAUCAGUACGCUGGUCGUGCCUUCGGUAUGCACUGGUGUCACUGGUUUCUCCCUUCUGAAGAACCGUCAUGCCAUUCAGUUGGUGUGGCGGGGAAUCAGGACUGUUACUUUGAAAAAAUUAGAGUGUUUAAAGCAGGCUCGCGCUU
rnacentral:rRNA from 1 species